rnacentral:rRNA from 1 species
UACAGAGGUCUCAAGCGUUGUUCGGAUUCAUUGGGCGUAAAGGGUGCGUAGGCGGCGCGGUAAGUCGGGUGUGAAAUUUCGAGGCUUAACUUCGAAACUGCAUUCGAUACUGCCGUGCUUGAGGACUGGAGAGGAGACUGGAAUUUACGGUGUAGCGGUGAAAUGCGUAGAUAUCGUAAGGAAGACCAGUGGCGAAGGCGGGUCUCUGGACGACUCCUGACACUGAGGCACGAAAGCUAGGGGGAGCAAACAGG